GAUGAACGCUGGCGGCGUGCCUAAUACAUGCAAGUCGAGCGAACAGACGCGGAGCUUGCUCCUUUGACGUUAGCGGCGGACGGGUGAGUAACACGUGUAUAAUCCACCUAUCAGACUGGGAUAAUUUCGGGACACCGGCGCUAAUACCGGAUAAUAUAUUGAACCGCAUGGUUCAAUAGUGAAAGACGGCUUUGCUGUCACUUAUAGCUGGAUCCGGGCCGCAUUAGCUAGUUGGUACGGUAACGGCUUAUCAAGGCAACGAUGCGUAGCCGACCUGAGAGGGUGAUCGGCCACACUGGAGCUGGGACGCCGACCAGGCGCCUGCGGUAGGGAGCAGUAUGGAAUCUUCCGCAGUGGGCGGAAACCUUGCGGAGCAGCGGCACGUGAGAGGUAAAAGUGUUCCGUGCGUAAUGCUCUGUUAUUAGGGAUAAACAGAUGUGGAAGUAACUAUGCACUGCUUGACGGUAACUGAUCAGAAAGCCACGGCUAACUACGUG
rnacentral:rRNA from 1 species